UACGGGGGGGGCAAGCGUUGUUCGGAAUUACUGGGCGUAAAGGGCUCGUAGGCGGCCAACUAAGUCAGACGUGAAAUCCCUCGGCUUAACCGGGGAACUGCGUCUGAUACUGGAUGGCUUGAGUUUGGGAGAGGGAUGCGGAAUUCCCGGUGUAGUGGUGAAAUGCGUAGAUAUCGGGAGGAACACCAGUGGCGAAGGCGACUUCCUGGCCUGUUCUUGACGCUGAGGCGCGAAAGCUAGGGGAGCAAACGGG
rnacentral:rRNA from 1 species